rnacentral:rRNA from 1 species
UACGUAGGGUGCAAGCGUUGUCCGGAAUUAUUGGGCGUAAAGAGCUCGUAGGCGGUUUGUCGCGUCUGCUGUGAAAAUCCAGGGCUUAACCCUGGACCUGCAGUGGGUACGGGCAGACUAGAGUGCGGUAGGGGAGAUCGGAAUUCCUGGUGUAGCGGUGAAAUGCGCAGAUAUCAGGAGGAACACCGGUGGCGAAGGCGGAUCUCUGGGCCGU